GUUUUUGCCGUUGUAAAUAUCGGUACAUUUUUUUAUUGUGACGACUAAUCAUAUUUUUACCGAUAAGAAAUAGAGUCACAUGGUUUACGAAGAAAAUAUUUACAUUGAUAUCUAUUGAUCAUACUCGGAUAGUAAAUUGUAUAUCAGAAAUUUUAUCGGAUUUUAUGUAGCGACGGAUAUAAGUAUAAAGGACAUAUAUAAUUACAACAAACAGAACCGUCAUCAUUUACAAAAUUUCUACUAGGAAGCAUUCAUAAGACACGAAAGGCUCUGGCUAUUACGAAGUUUUCCGCAUCAGCUAGACCGGUAAAAUCGACUCUCGAGGAAUGUGUCUACGUCUUAUACUCAAGGACGGAAAGAUCGUGAGAGCCAUUUCGCGUAACUUUGCGGGAGCGCAAAAAUUUUCACUCGCGGAAGGGACGCGGUCGCGCGAGCCUCAAUUACGCGCUGCAUUGCUCGCAUAGUCCCGGUUCCUCUAACCCUAUUAUCAACAGAGCGAGUCGUAAAGAUAAUAUCGUUUCAUUAAAGAGCUGCGGCACAAAUAUAGAUACGAGUAGCGGAGAACAGCCAGUCACGUACCAAUUACGCGACUGAGAACUUCCAUUCCCGAGAAGCCGGGCGAGAGAUAGCUUGUCGUACGGUGAUAAUUGCAUUAUCGUCGCGAUACAUUCGAACUAUAUAAUGAUACGAUGGUAUCGUUAUUGAGAAAUUUGCUUAAAGAAAUUAAAUAUUUGUCACACGACAUAUUUGCGCAAAUCGAGAGCGCACUUAAAAAAAUUGCCACAAAUUAUAGUUUUAUUUAAAUGGUCUAAAGUGUAAACACACAUUAUAUGAAGGUUUUAGAAUAAUGUUUUACUUGUUAUGUAUUUAGAAAUAUAAUAUAUGAUUUCUUCUUUCACUU